AACGAACGCUGGCGGCAUGCCUAACACAUGCAAGUCGAACGAGACCUUCGGGUCUUGGGGCGCACGGGUGCGUAACGCGUGGGAACCUGCCCUUAGGUUCGGUAUAACUCCCCGUAAGGGGAGCUAAUACCGGUUAAUGUCUUCGGGCCAACGAUUUAUCGCCUUGGGAUGGGCCCGCGUUGGAUUAGCUAGUUGGUAGGGUAAAAGCCUACCAACGCGACGAUCCAUAGCUGGUCUGUUAGGAUGAUCAGCCACACUGGGACUGAGACCCGGCCCAGACUCCUACGGAAGGCAGCAGUGGGGAAUAUUGGACACUGGGCGCUAGCCUGAUCCCGCAAUGUCGCGUAAGUGAUGAAGGCCUGAGGGUUGUAAAGCUCUUUUACCCGGGAUGAUAAUGACAGUACCGGGAGAAUAAGCACCGGCUAACUACGUG
rnacentral:rRNA from 1 species